CGCGGGGUGGAGCAGCCUGGUAGCUCGUCGGGCUCAUAACCCGAAGGUCAUCGGUUCAAAUCCGGCCCCCGCAACCA
rnacentral:tRNA from 3 species